GACGAACGCUGGCGGCGUGCCUAAUACAUGCAAGUUGAGCGAUGAAGAUUGGUGCUUGCCCCAAUUUGAAGAGCAGCGAACGGGUGAGUAACGCGUGGGGAAUCUGCCUUUGAGCGGGGGACAACAUUUGGAAACGAAUGCUAAUACCGCAUAACAACUUUAAACAUAAGUUUUAAGUUUGAAAGCUGCAAUUGCAUCACUCAAAGAUGAUCCCGCGUUGUAUUAGCUAGUUGGUGAGGUAAAGGCUCACCAAGGCGAUGAUACAUAGCCGACCUGAGAGGGUGAUCGGCCACAUUGGGACUGAGACACGGCCCAAACUCCUACGGGAGGCAGCAGUAGGGGAUCUUCGGCAAUGGACGAAAGUCUGACCGAGCAACGCCGCGUGAGUGAAGAAGGUUUUCGGAUCGUAAAACUCUGUUGGUAGAGAAGAACGUUGGUGAGAGUGGAAAGCUCAUCAAGUGACGGUAACUACCCAGAAAGGGACGGCUAACUACGUG
rnacentral:rRNA from 1 species